GGGCCACCACCAAGCCAUCAACGGGGAGUGGGACCUCGCCGGCAUCGCGCACCGGGCCUACGACCUGGAGGGCAAGACGGUGGGCACCGUCGGCGCCGGCCGCAUCGGGAAGCUGCUGCUCCAGCGCCUCAAGCCAUUCGGCUGCAACCUGCUCUACCACGACAGGCUCCGCGUCGACGCCGCGCUGGAGAAGGAGCUCGGCGCCGCCUUCGAGGAGGACCUCGACGCCAUGCUGCCCAAGUGCGACGUCGUCGUGCUCAACA
rnacentral:lncRNA from 1 species